GACGGAGGAUGCAAGCGUUAUCCGGAAUGAUUGAGCGUAAAGCGUUCGCAGGUGGCUGUUCAAGUCUGCUGUCAAAGACCGAGGCUUAACCUCAGAAAGGCAGUGGAAACUGAGAGGCUGGAGUGCUGUAGGGGUAGGGGGAAUUCCCGGUGUAGCGGUGAAAUGCGUAGAUAUCAGGAGGAACACCCGUGGCGAAGGCGGCUUCCUGGCCAUCACCUGACGCUGAGGUGCGAAAGCUAGGGGAGCGAACGGG
rnacentral:rRNA from 1 species